GGAAGAGAGCUGCACGCUGGUUCACAUAGACAGCACCAGGAGCAGAACACCUCCACUAUAAUGGAAGGCUCAGCAUCAUUGCGUUGGGUGCCAUCUGCCUUAAACCUCACCAGACGAUGAUGAUCCACAACAGUACAAGGAAGCGCUGCUGCUGCCUGCUGCCUGCUGGUGAUGGCGUCACCUGGCAGCAAGCGAGGGCUCGCCUCAGAUCGCCUUUGGACGUUCCGUGCCAACGGGGAGACUUCCUCCAGGUGUGUUCGCGGGACAUUUUGCAUUGUGCCAGCCCCAGAGGGUCGUGCCAAGACAUCAGCCGGCUUCCGUCAGUUUAAACACUCUCCCGGAGCAAACAAGCCAUUUCAUCUCAGCAGAAAAAGAGAGGUGUCGACUGACAUCCAGUUUUUUAUAUGCAGGCCUGUUUUCCCCUUUCCCUCUCCUCCUCUCUGCUCCUCUCUCUAUGGGUCCUGUUAACCGGUGUUUUGACGUAGAUUACAACUUUCGCUUUAGAAUUUUGGUGUCUGUCCUGACAGCCUUAUCGCGUAGUUUUAGUUUUCAAAUGAUUGGGGAGGAAGGGGGGCUAAUUUCCUGUUUGUGUGCCUGCCUUCACCACUUUUGAUCCCCAAACUACUUUCUUUUGUCCUGGUUUCAAUCUUACCUGUGUGAGGAAACAAGUUGGCAUCCCACAAUUUAACAGUUGAUUUGAAUAUGAAUAUCCUGUGCAUCCUGUUUUUAUUAUUAUCAUUUUACAUGAUUUUGGGAUAUGAAAUAUACAGCUGUUUAUGAUCAGGUUGAAUA